GUUAGAAUACUUUUAUUUAUUUUUUUAAAUUACUCUGCACCUACACCACUUUUAAAGUUGCCAUUGUGAAUGUAUUAUUUCAAGUAAUUAACUGUAUUUGUCUCUCCUGACUUUUAAAUGAAAACAAUAGCAUUCUCAUGCAACUGACCCUAGUUCUAUACACAUACAUGAUGCACUUUUUCCUGUUUUGCCAUAAAACAUUUUUUUACUUGCCUUCUUCCACCACCAAGGCUUAAUCUGUGCGGUUCAACCUCUCAGACGUCAUGCAGGAGGCUUCCCUCAUAGGAAAAGUACUGUAUUCACUGCUCUCCUAUGGGGAAACCACGUCCCAUGACAGCGUUUUACUCUGUCAGUGGCUCAGAAGUGUCUCUAGUGGCUGUCAGGAAGAUGUAAACAUUCAUUGAAGUGAUCUUGGUGACACUUGUAUCCCUUUAAUUCACCCUGUGUAUUUACUUACCUUUCUAUAUGUGACCCAUCACUAUAUGUGCCUUCAAACCUUGUUGUGUAAUACAAGCGCUCUUCCUCCUUCCACCCCACCAAUUCUGUUAAAGGAACACUUUUUAGUGUUUGGGAUACAAAGCUAUCUUUCUAACACUACAUUGUCCCUGUGCCCUGCAAUGAAAGGGUUAAAAAAUAACCUUAACCACUUACCUGUUUGCAGUGCCAAGGGUCCUUUUGCACAGCGUGAGGAUGUCC